UACGGAGGAUCCGAGCGUUAUCCGGAUUUAUUGGGUUUAAAGGGUGCGCAGGCGGGGGAUUAAGUCGGCGGUGAAAUUUUGCAGCUCAACUGUAAAAGUGCCUUCGAAACUGGUUUCCUUGAGUGUAGAUGAAGUAGGCGGAAUUUGUGGUGUAGCGGUGAAAUGCUUAGAUAUCACGAGGAACUCCGAUUGCGCAGGCAGCUUACUAAGCCAUAACUGACGCUCAGGCACGAAGGCGUGGGGAUCAAACAGGAUUAGAUACCCUGGUAGU
rnacentral:rRNA from 1 species